CAAUAGCGUAUAUUUAAGUUGUUGCAGUUAAAAAGCUCGUAGUCGGAUUUUGGCUGAGAACGAACAGUCCGCCGUUAGGUGUGCACUGUUUGGUCUCAGCUUCCUGGUGAGGAGGUGUGCUUCACGGCCACUUAGUCACCGUGGUUACUUUGAAAAAAUUAGAGUGUUCAAAGCGGGCUUACGCUUGAAUAUAUUAGCAUGGAAUAACACCAUAGGACUCCUGUCCUAUUUCGUUGGUCUCGGGACGGGAGUAAUGAUUAAGAGGAACAGUUGGGGGCAUUCGUAUUUCAUUGUCAGAGGUGAAAUUCUUGGAUUUAUGAAAGACGAACUUCUGCGAAAGCAUUUGCCAAGGAUGUUUUCAUUGA
rnacentral:rRNA from 1 species